rnacentral:sRNA from 1 species
AACAAUCCCAGCCUAAAACUUACAUACACAGAAUGUCUGAGGGUUUGUGGCAACUGGUUAGCAGAAACGUGCUUAGAAAAUCCUGCGGUCAUCAUGCAGACCUAUCUAGAAAAGGCAGUAGAAGUUGCUGGAAAUUAUGAUGGAGAAAGUAGUGAUGAGCUAAGAAAUGGAAAAAUGAAGGCAUUUCUCUCAUUAGCCCGGUUUUCAGAUACUCAAUACCAAAGAAUUGAAAACUACAUGAAAUCAUCGGAAUUUGAAAACAAGCAAGCUCUCCUGAAAAGAGCCAAAGAGGAAGUAGGUCUCCUUAGGGAACAUAAAAUUCAGACAAACAGGUAACUAGGUUUCUACAAGUGACAAUUUUAUGUUCACCAGUUAACUGAGUGAGUGUUUUUGCAUAGAAA